AGCAGCCGCGGUAAUUCCAGCUCCAAUAGCGUAUAUUAAAGUUGUUGCAGUUAAAAAGCUCGUAGUUGAAUUUCGGGACCAAUUUGUUGGUCGUGCCUCGGUACGUACUGGUAUUAUUGGUUUCUCCCUUCUGAAGAACCUCGAUGUCAUUAAUUUGGUGUCGUGGGGAAUCAGGACUGUUACUUUGAAAAAAUUAGAGUGUUUAAAGCAGGCAUACGCUUGAAUACAUUAGCAUGGAAUAAUGAAAUAGGACGUUUGAUUCUAUUUUGUUGGUUUCUAGGAUCGACGUAAUGAUUAGUAGGGAUAGUUGGGGGCAUUAGUAUUCAAUUGUCAGAGGUGAAAUUCUUGGAUUUAUUGAAGACUAACUACUGCGAAAGCAUUUGCCAAGAAUGUUUUCAUUAAUCAAGAACGAAAGUUAGGGGAUCGAAGACGAUCAGAUACCGUCGUAGUCUUAACCAUAAACUAUGCCGACUAGGGAUCGGAUGAUGUAAUUUUUUAAUGACUCAUUCGGCGCCUUACG
rnacentral:rRNA from 1 species